AUAUCAGUAAGCGGAGGAAAAGAAACUAACAAGGAUUCCCCUAGUAACGGCGAGUGAAGCGGGAAAAGCUCAAAUUUAAAAUCUGGUGUGCCUUUGGUCACCCGAGUUGUAAUCUAUAGAGGCGUUUUCUGUGCUGGACCGUGUCCAAGUCCCUUGGAACAGGGUAUCAAAGAGGGUGACAAUCCCGUACUUGACACGACAACCAGUGCUCUGUGAUACGUCUUCUACGAGUCGGGUUGUUUGGGAAUGCAGCUCAAAAUGGGUGGUAAAUUUCAUCUAAAGCUAAAUAUUGGCCAGAGACCGAUAGCGCACAAGUA
rnacentral:rRNA from 1 species